rnacentral:rRNA from 1 species
AGAAAUCAACCGAGAUUCCCCCAGUAGCGGCGAGCGAACGGGGAGCAGCCCAGAGUCUGAAUCAGCUUGUGUGUUAGUGGAACGGUCUGGAAAGUCCGACGGUACAGGGUGAUAGUCCCGUACACCAAAAUGCACAGGCUGUGAACUCGAAGAGUAGGGCGGGACACGUGGUAUCCUGUCUGAAUAUGGGGGGACCAUCCUCCAAGGCUAAAUACUCCUGACUGACCGAUAGUGAACCAGUACCGUGAGGGAAAGGCGAAAAGAACCCCGGCGAGGG